AAGCUGAAUUUAAAUCGUACUCGGCUUGAUAUAAAAUAGCUCCCUUGGUGAACGGAGAGCAUCGACUCAAGGGACAGACAUGAAGUGGUCUGUGGUAGUCGUUCUGUUGUCGCUUGUGGUGGUGGCGAACUGCAACCCCUUCGUCAUCGCUUCAGCGAUCGCCAAUGUCAUUGGGGCCAUCAUCAAGGCCGUCUCGAAUUCGGAAAAGCGGUCUGUGAUCGUCGAGAACCACGGUCGUCAUCAUGCACAUCUUUGGUGUGCCUCCAAGAACGACAGAAUCGGCGGAGCCGGAGGUAUUUGGAUAGCACCGGGACAGUCUCUGGGAUGGACUUUCCGCAAAACGCCGAGCACCCAGUUCUGGUGCACGAUGGACUGGUGGGGUCAACGCGUCGGAUGGGACGUCUACGUCCACAAUUGGAAAGACGCACCGAAGAUCACCAAGUGGCACAUCCGUAACGACGGUGUCUACGAUGAAUGGCGCGGACGCAAAUGGCGAGGCCUUCGCUCGUAGAAAUUUCGCCUCCCCCUGAACAGUCUCACUCGGCCUGCUGGGCGAUCCUCAAGCUGAAUAUCGUGGGCACUGUCAUUGAAACUCGUAGAAAUUCGGGAGCUUGCUAAUAAAGUCGCGGAAACGAUAGAUUUUCCGAUAAAUAC